rnacentral:rRNA from 1 species
UACGUAGGGCGCAAGCGUUGUCCGGAAUUAUUGGACGUAAAGAGCUCGUAGGCGGUCUGUCGCGUCGGCUGUGAAAACUCGGGGCUCAACCCCGGGCCUGCAUUCGAUACGGGCAGACUAGAGUACGGCAGGGGAGACUGGAAUUCCUGGUGUAGCGGUGAAAUGCGCAGAUAUCAGGAGGAACACCGGUGGCGAAGGCGGGUCUCUGGGCCGAAACUGACGCUGAGGAGCGAAAGCAUGGGGAGCGAACGGG